GUGGGUGGUGGCGUGCCUUUUGAAGAAUGAGCCUGCGAGUCAGGGCGUGUCGCGAGGUUAACCCGUGUGGGGUAGUCGUAGCGAAAGCGAGUCCGAAAUUUGGGCGUUAUUAGUGGCGCGUUCUGGACCCGAAGCGGGGUGAUCUACCCAUGGCCAGGUUGAGGCACGUGUAAGAGCGUGUGGAGGACCGAACCCACCUCGGUUGAAAACGGGGGGGAUGAGCUGUGGGUAGGGGUGAAAGGCCAAUCAAACUCCGUGAUAGCUGGUUCUCCCCGAAAUGCAUUUAGGUGCAGCGUCGCGUGUUGCCGUGCGGAGGUAGAGCACUGGUUGGUUGAGGGGCCUUACAGGGUUGCUGAUGCCAGUCAAACUCCGAAUGCCGUAUUGGUUCAGCGUGGCAGUGAGACUGCGGGGGAUAAGCUUCGUGGUCGAGAGGGAAACAGCCCGGAUCGCCGGCUAAGGCCCCUAAGUGUGCGCUAAGUGGGAAAGGAUGUGCGGUCGCGGUGACAGCCAGGAGGUUGGCUUAGAAGCAGCCAUCCUUGAAAGAGUGCGUAAUAGCUCACUGGUCGAGUGGUCGUGCGCCGACAAUGUAGCGGGGCUCAAGCGCACCGCCGAAGCCGCGGACCCCGGCCCUGUUUGAUUGGGUUGGGGUGGUAGGGGAGCGUCCUGCGUUGGGUGAAGCUCUGGGGUGACCCAUGGGUGGACGGCGUGGGAGUGAGAAUGCAGGCAUGAGUAGCGAGACCGGGGUGGGAUUCCCCGGCGCCGUAUGACUAAGGGUUCCAGGGGCAGGUUCGUCCUCCCUGGGUGAGUCGGGGCCUAAGGCGAGGCCGACAGGCGUAGUCGAUGGAUGACGGGUUGAUAUUCCCGUACCGGUGGAGUACCGCCCAUGCUGACGUGCGGGUGCUAACCCACGCCGUUGCCGCUGUUUCCCGUGGUUGGGCUUUCGGGCCUGGCUGUCGGGGGUGGUGGUGUGGUCUGGGGACCGACCGUGCUGGUAGGCAAGCGUGUUUUAACUGGGGUGACGCACAGAGGUAGCCUCGCGGGGCUUAUGGCUUGUCCCGUUCAAGCGUGUGGCCUGGUGCCUAGGUAAAUCCGGGUGCCGUGCCCCGCCCUGUUGGGUGGGGUUGGGUGAGGCGUGAUGGUGACCCCGCCGUUGUGGUGGGGGAUAGUAGGGUGAUCCUGUGGUGCCUAGAAAAGCCUCGACGUGAGGUGCUUUACCGCCCGUACCCUAAACCGACACAGGUGGUCGGGCAGAGUAUGCCCAGGCGUGCGAGUGAAUCAUGGUUAAGGAACUCGGCAAAAUGCCCCCGUAACUUCGGGAGAAGGGGGGCCUGAGCCUUGAAGCCCCAUGGCGGGCUAGGGGUGAGGGUCGCAGGGACCAGGGAGGAGCGACUGUUUACUAAAAACACAGGUCCGUGCGAAGCCGUAAGGCGAUGUAUACGGACUGACGCCUGCCCGGUGCUGGAAGGUUAAGAGGAUCCGUCAGUCCCACGUUUUGUGGGGUGAAGCGGUGAGCCUAAGCCCCAGUAAACGGCGGUGGUAACUAUAACCAUCCUAAGGUAGCGAAAUUCCUUGUCGGGUAAGUUCCGACCUGCACGAAUGGCGUAACGACUCCUCUACUGUCUCAACCAUGAGCUCGGCGAAAUUGCAUUACGAGUAAAGAUGCUCGUUACGCGCAGAAGGACGGAAAGACCCCGGGACCUUUACUGCAGCUUGGUAUUGACGUCCGCCAUUGUUUGUGCAGGAUAGGUGGGAGACUGUGAAGCGGUCGCGCUAGCGGUUGUGGAGUCGUUGUUGGGAUACCACUCUGAUGGUGGCGUGCGUCUGAACCUGGGCCCGUGAUCCGGGUCAGGGACAGUGCCUGGUGGGUAGUUUAACUGGGGCGGUUGCCUCCUAAAGUGUAACGGAGGCGCUCAAAGGUUCUCUCAUCCUGGUCGGCAACCAGGUGUUGAGUGCAAGCGCACAAGAGGGCUUGACUGUGAGACUGACGGGUCGAGCAGGCACGAAAGUGGGAGCUAGUGAUCCGGCGAUCCCGUGUGGGUGGGUCGUCGCUCAACGGAUAAAAGGUACCCCGGGGAUAACAGGCUGAUCCUGCCCAAGAGUCCAUAUCGACGGCAUGGUUUGGCACCUCGAUGUCGGCUCGUCGCAUCCUGGGGCUGGAGCAGGUCCCAAGGGUUGGGCUGUUCGCCCAUUAAAGCGGUACGCGAGCUGGGUUUAGAACGUCGUGAGACAGUUCGGUCCCUAUCCUCUGCGCGCGUUGGAGACUUGAGGAGUGCUGUCCCUAGUACGAGAGGACCAGGACGGACGAACCUCUGGUGUGCCAGUUGUACCGCCAGGUGCAUGGCUGGUUGGCUACGUUCGGGUCGGGUAACCGCUGAAAGCAUCUAAGCGGGAAACCGUCUCCAAGAUAAGGUCUCCACCACCAUUUGGUGGGUAGGCUCCCAGUUAGACGACUGGGUUGAUAGGCCAGGUGUGGAAGCAGGCAGCCCCGUGUGGGGUGAAUCCUGUUGUUGAGCUGACUGGUACUAACAA
rnacentral:rRNA from 1 species